rnacentral:lncRNA from 1 species
AACAAAAUUGAACACCGUCAGAGUAACGUGAUCUUUGUAACUUAUUUGAUUUAUCAUACAAUGAGAUAUUGAAUCUGCCACUGGAACAAAAGCAUGUUGUACUAGACGCACGUUUUGUCUCAAUUGGAAUAACUAUGACACAUGAAUCAAAACAGUUAAGAGUCCAAGUGAAAUUCGAAGAACGUGGAAAACCAAAAUUUCUGAAAUGCUGUAUCAAAUGGGCUCCGCCAAUCAAUACAUAAAAAAGACUAAGUGUUUCAAACAUAACCAUGAAAAAGCCAAGAAAAAAAAAGGAAACACGAA